GGACUGCAGUGUAGGACUUUCCUGCAGAAUACCAUUUGAUCCUAUUAAGAAUUGUCCAAAUGUUGGAGCAUUUGAUUGAAAAAUCCUUCUUAGCCAUUUUAAAGAUAGCUUUCCAAUGAUUAGACGAAUUGAUUCUUUCUGUGACUCAUCAGUUCAUUUCCUGUAAAAUUCAUGUCUUGCUGUUGAUUUGUGAAUAAGAACCAGAGCUUGUAGAAACCACUUUAAUCAUAUCCAGGAGUUUGCAAGAAACAGGUGCUUAACACUAAUUCACCUCCUGAACAAGAAAAAUGGGCUGUGACCGGAACUGUGGGCUCAUCGCUGGGGCUGUCAUUGGUGCUGUCCUGGCUGUGUUUGGAGGUAUUCUAAUGCCAGUUGGAGACCUGCUUAUCCAGAAGACAAUUAAAAAGGCACAGAAGUUUACAGACAGUUUUGGAUCUUUGAUGUGCAAAAUCCACAGGAAGUGAUGAUGAACAGCAGCAACAUUCAAGUUAAGCAAAGA
rnacentral:lncRNA from 1 species